rnacentral:rRNA from 1 species
UGGGGAAUAUUGCACAAUGGGCGAAAGCCUGAUGCAGCAACGCCGCGUGAGUGAUGAAGGCCUUCGGGUCGUAAAGCUCUUUGAUCAGGGAUGAUAAUGACAGUACCUGAAAAACAAGCCACGGCUAACUACGUGCCAGCAGCCGCGGUAAUACGUAGGUGGCGAGCGUUGUCCGGAAUUACUGGGCGUAAAGGAUGCGUAGGUGGAUACUUAAGUGGGAUGUGAAAUCCCCGGGCUCAACCCGGGAACUGCAUUCCAAACUGGGUAUCUAGAGUGCAGGAGAGGAAAGCGGAAUUCCUAGUGUAGCGGUGAAAUGCGUAGAUAUUAGGAGGAACACCAGUGGCGAAGGCGGCUUUCUGGACUGUAACUGACACUGAGGCAUGAAAGCGUGGGUAGCAAA